rnacentral:rRNA from 1 species
UACACUCCUGCGGGAGGCAGCAGUGGGGAAUAUUGGACAAUGGGCGCAAGCCUGAUCCAGCCAUGCCGCGUGAGUGAUGAAGGCCCUAGGGUUGUAAAGCUCUUUCACCGGUGAAGAUAAUGACGGUAACCGGAGAAGAAGCCCCGGCUAACUUCGUGCCAGCAGCCGCGGUAAUACGAAGGGGGCUAGCGUUGUUCGGAUUUACUGGGCGUAGAGCGCACGUAGGCGGACUAUUAAGUCAGGGGUGAAAUCCCGGGGCUCAACCCCGGAACUGCCUUUGAUACUGGUAGUCUUGAGUUCGAGAGAGGUGAGUGAAUUCCGAGUGUAGAGGUGAAAUUCGUAGAUAUUCGGAGGAACACCAGUGGCGAAGGCGGCUCACUGGCUCGAUACUGACGCUGAGGUGCGAAAGCGUGGGGAGCAAACAGGAUUAGAAACCCUAGUAGUCCCAUGA